rfam:Cavia porcellus supercont2_3 genomic scaffold, whole genome shotgun sequence.
GGGGAUUUAGCUCAGCAGUAUAAGCACCUGUCUUGCAAGCAGGCGGACGUGAGCUCAAUCCCCA